AAUUUUAAAUUCAGACUGAUACAUUUUGAGAUGCUAGAGCUGGCUUUCAUGACAAUGUUUCUCCUAAAUUAUUUCCCAACUAGGUGAAUAUAUAAUUGUUUGAAAUACUUGUUUUCAAGCAUUCAGCUCAACGAAUACCUACCAGAGGUGAAAGACCUGCUACAAGCAGAUCAGCUUGGAAGCUUGAAGUCCAAUCCUUACUUUGAGUUUGUCUUGAAAGCAAAUUAUGAAUAUUAUGUCCAGGGACAAAUGUAACUUUUUCUAAAAAUGGUCAUUGUUUUUGAAAAUGUGUGUAAGUGUGUCCUUAUGAAAACUUUAAGCCUUGAACAUCUAGAAGUUUGUACAGUUUUAUUCUAUGUAUUGCUGAGUUUUUUAUACUUUAUUUGGAAGCUACUAUAAAGCAACUAUGACUUGAGUUUUGGUUUUUAAUUAAAUAUUUUCUCUUCUCCUUUU